UUCUCUUGCAUUUGGAGGAGCAAAGUUCCUCCUAAGGUUAAAAUCUUCCUAUGGCAAGCCUUUAGGGGCCGGCUUCCUGCUGCUGAUCAAAUCUGUAAGCGUAAUGGUCCGGGCUCGGAAUUUUGUGCUCUUUGCGGUGCUGUGGAAAACACGGAGCAUAUCUUAUUUCACUGUGUUUUGGCUAAGUUUGUUUGGAGCUGUGUUCGGUUGUGGCUUCAGGUCACUUGGAACCCCUCUUCCUUUCAUGAGAUGAGAAACCUUGCUAGCUCGUUGGUUGGGGUCACUAAGAGGGUUUUCUGGGUUGGCUUGGGUGCGAUUUGCUGGUCUCUUUGGACAAUUAGGAACAAAUUUACUAUUGAACAUGUAUUUCCUUCGAAAGCGGCUGACGUUCUUUUCAAAUCAUGUAUAUUAUUGCAGCAGUGGAGAUCAUUGACUAAAGACGACGAUCGGGGAGCUCUUGACCUGCUAAUCUCUAAAAUUCGGGCCUCGACGUCCUCCAUCUCCGGGCAGGCUCCUGACGUCUAA
rnacentral:rRNA from 1 species